rnacentral:lncRNA from 1 species
AAAGCAAAGAAUAUGGGCUAUUAAUAAAUGAAUCAAAAAUAUGAUAAAAAAAAAAAAAAUACUAUUUUGUGCAUUUUAAGUAUGUAAUAACUUAAAUAUUUCCUUUCAGAAGCACUGUAACUUCAAUUGGUUUUGAGAGAUGUUUGUGUUGCUGAAAACAAAAAAUGGCAUUUCCAAUGAAACUUAGUGUAUAGUAAGGCUAGCAGAACCAAAACUGCCAAUGAAAAUUCAGAAAAGAUACUAAACAAUUCAUUAGAAAGAUCCAUCAAGUGUAGUGUCUAUAAAAGCAUGGAUGAAAGCAUUUUUUUCAAACAAGUUCAGUGCUGAAAAGGAAGAUCAAGGACGACUAAUCAUCUCUGAUGAUAUAACCAAAACAAUCAGAUCUGUGUUUCAAAAGAGUGCAUCAAAGUUUGUGAGAAAACAGCUGAAAAUAGCACAGUCAACUGUGCAUAAGAUACAGUCAAGCCCCGAUUUAAUGAAUCGUGUGGGGUUGAGAUUUUUAUCCGUUAAAUCGAGGUAUUCGUUAAAUCUGGAUAAU